rnacentral:rRNA from 1 species
UGGGGAAUCUUGCGCAAUGCGCGAAAGCGUGACGCAGCAACGCCGCGUGGGGGAAGAAGGCUCUCGGGUUGUAAACCCCUUUCAGGAGGGACGAAGGUCGGGCGGUUAAUAGCCGACCCGACUGACGGUACCUCCACAAGAAGCCCCGGCUAACUACGUGCCAGCAGCCGCGGUAAUACGUAGGGGGCAAGCGUUGUCCGGAAUUAUUGGGCGUAAAGAGCGUGUAGGCGGUCCGGUCAGUCGGCUGUGAAAGUCCAGGGCUCAACCCUGGGAUGCCGGUCGAUACUGCCGGACUAGAGUUCGGAAGAGGCGAGUGGAAUUCCCGGUGUAGCGGUGAAAUGCGCAGAUAUCGGGAGGAACACCUAUGGCGAAGGCAGCUCGCUGGGACGUUACUGACGCUGAGACGCGAAAGCGUGGGGAGCAAACAG